rnacentral:rRNA from 1 species
AUAUCAGUCAUGCAUGCAUAUCAAUAAGCGGAGGAAAAGAAACUAACAAGGAUUCCCUUAGUAACGGCGAGUGAAGCGGGAAGAGCUCAAAUUUGAAAUCUUCAAGGUUCUACCUUGACGAAUUGUAGUUUAUAGAAGUGUUUUCUGUUAGUAGAGUGGCAAAAGUUCUUUGGAAUAGGACAUCAUAGAGGGUGAGAAUCCCGUAUUUGGUCAUUCUUUCUAGCUUUGUGAUACACUUUCAACGAGUCGGAUUGUUUGGGAAUGCAGUCCAAAAUGGGUGGUAAAUUUCAUCUAAAGCUAAAUAUUGGCGAGAGACCGAUAGCGAACAAGUACCGUGAGGGAAAGAUGAAAAGAACUUUGAAAAGAGAGUUAACCAGUACGUGAAAUUGUCAAAAGGGAAGCGUUUGACACCAGUGUUGUUUUUCCGAAAAUCAAUUACGAAUGUUUUGUUUUUAAGAAGUUAUGACUUCAUCGGCUUGCUUCUUUCUUUACGAAACUUUCUUAAUGCACUUUUCGGUUAACAAGUCAACAUCAAUUUCUUUUGUUGUAAAAGGGUAUGAGGAAGGUGGCUUUCUAUUCGGAGAAAGUGUUUAUAGCCUUGUGCCUCUGCAAUCGGAGAGAUUGAGGUCUGCAGCGUAGAUCCUUCGGGGUUAGAUACAUUUGUGCUAAGAUAUAGCUUUUCAUAGACAACUUGUUGACUAUGAUUCAGUCAUUGUAGCUUACUCGCUUAUGCUAUUUUACCUACGCUUAGGAUGUUGAUCUCUCACAGUCGAGC